AGUGAACGCUGGCGGUAGGCCUAACACAUGCAAGUCGAACGGCAGCACAGUAAGAGCUUGCUCUUACGGGUGGCGAGUGGCGGACGGGUGAGGAAUACAUCGGAAUCUACUUUUUCGUGGGGGAUAACGUAGGGAAACUUACGCUAAUACCGCAUACGACCUACGGGUGAAAGUAGGGGAUCUUCGGACCUUGCGCGAUUGAACGAGCCGAUGUCGGAUUAGCUAGUUGGCGGGGUAAAGGCCCACCAAGGCGACGAUCCGUAGCUGGUCUGAGAGGAUGGUCAGCCACACUGGAACUGAGACACGGUCCAGACUCCUACGGGAGGCAGCAGUGGCGAAUGUUAGACAGUGGGCGCAAGCCUGAUCCAGCCAUACCGCGUGGGUGAAGGAGGCCUUCGGGUUGUAAAGCCCUUUUGUUGGGAAAGAAAAGCAGCAGGUUAAUACGCCGCUGUUCUGACGGUACCCAAAGAAUAAGCACCGGCUAACUUCGUG
rnacentral:rRNA from 1 species